AAACUAACAAGGAUUCCCCUAGUAACGGCGAGUGAAGAGGGAAGAGCCCAAGAUUGAAAGCUGGCGCCUUCGGCGUCCGCAUUGUAAUCUCAAGAAGCGUUUUCCGCUUCGGACCAUGCCUAAGUCCCUUGGAAAAGGGCAUCAUAGAGGGUGAUAAUCCCGUACAUGGCAUGGAGCGCCCGAAGCUUUGUGAUACGCUUUCUAAGAGUCGAGUUGUUUGGGAAUGCAGCUCAAAAUGGGUGGUAAAUGCCAUCUAAGGCUAAAUAUUGGGGAGAGACCGAUAGCGAACAAGUACAGUGAUGGAAAGAUGAAAAGAACUUUGAAAAGAGAGUUAAACAGUACGUGAAAUUGCCAAAAGGGAAGGGUAGGAGGUCAGAGAUGCGUCGCAGGAUUCAGCCUUGCUUUUGCUUGGUGUUUUUCCUGCGUUGCAGGCCAACGUCGGUUUUGGGCACUGGAGAAGGGUAGGAGGAACGUGGCACCUCUCGGGGUGUGUUAUAGCCUCCUACUGGAUACAGCGACCGAGACCGAGGAACGCAGCGUACUCGUAAGAGCGGGCCUUUUGGCACCUUUACGCUUAGGGCGUUGGCAUAAUGGCCCUCUACCACCCGUCU
rnacentral:rRNA from 1 species